UCGGGAAUUUUGGGCAAUGGGCGAAAGCCUGACCCAGCAACGCCGCGUGAGGGAUGAAGUAUUUCGGUAUGUAAACCUCGAAAGAAUGGGAAGAAUAAAUGACGGUACCAUUUAUAAGCUCCGGCUAACUACGUGCCAGCAGCCGCGGUAAUACGAAGGAUGCAAGCGUUAUCCGGAAUUAUUGGGUUUAAAGGGUGCGUAGGCGGACUAAUAAGUCAGUGGUGAAAGCCUGCAGCUUAACUGCAGAAUUGCCAUUGAUACUGUUAGUCUUGAGUACAGUUGAGGUAGGCGGAAUGUGUCAUGUAGCGGUGAAAUGCUUAGAUAUGACACAGAACACCGAUUGCGAAGGCAGCUUGCUAAGCUGUAACUGACGCUGAGGCACGAAAGCGUGGGGAGCAAACA
rnacentral:rRNA from 1 species